rnacentral:piRNA from 1 species
UUUGAAUUCGGAAUUCGCCAC